rnacentral:rRNA from 1 species
UACGGGGGGGGCAAGCGUUGUUCGGAAUUACUGGGCGUAAAGGGCUCGUAGGCGGCCAACUAAGUCAGACGUGAAAUCCCUCGGCUUAACCGGGGAACUGCGUCUGAUACUGGAUGGCUUGAGAUUGGGAGAGGGAUGCGGAAUUCCAGGUGUAGCGGUGAAAUGCGUAGAUAUCGGAAGGAACACCAGUGGCGAAAGCGGCUUCCUGGUCCAGCACCGACGUUCAGGCACGAAAGCGUGGGGAGCAAACAGG